rnacentral:rRNA from 1 species
UACGUAGGGGGCAAGCGUUGUCCGGAAUCAUUGGGCGUAAAGCGCGUGUAGGCGGCUCGGUAAGUCCGCUCUGAAAGCCCAGGGCUCAACCCUGGGAUGCGGGCGGAUACUGCCUGGCUCGAGUCCGGAAGAGGCGAGUGGAAUUCCCGGUGUAGCGGUGAAAUGCGCAGAUAUCGGGAGGAACACCAAUGGCGAAGGCAGCUCGCUGGGACGUGACUGACGCUGAGACGCGAAAGCGUGGGGAGCAAACAGG